AGUCGGAAGAAGUACAGCGGUGAGUUAUGUACCCGAUUUGUUGUGCUUCCUUUUUUCCGCGACUAAGCUAGGGUUUUUCCGCAAGAUAGUCGGAAGAAGUACAGCGGUGAGUUAUGUCGCGGCAAGGUUUUCGAUUUUCUCAAGAACUGUGGCAUUUGCGUAAGCGUUGGCCAUAGGCGCAGCGGCGGCUGGAGUUGUCUUACCAGCGUUGUUGCGAACUGCGAUUUUUGUCUUUCGUAUUUCCAGACAUUGUUUUGAUCAAGUGUUUUGCGGCUAUGAGUUAGAGUAAUCCGUACCCCCCCCC
rnacentral:lncRNA from 1 species